rnacentral:rRNA from 1 species
AGGACGAACGCUGGCGGCAUGCCUAACACAUGCAAGUCGAACGAGAAAGUUCCUUCGGGAGCAAUUAAAGUGGCGCACGGGUGAGUAACGCGUAGACAAUCUGCCCUUCAGUCUGGGACAACUUUUCGAAAGGAGAGCUAAUACCGGAUAACAAUGCAUGACACAAGUUGUAUAUUUGAAAGCUUUAUGUGCUGAAGGAGGGGUCUGCGUCCCAUUAGCUAGUUGGUAAGGUAAAGGCUUACCAAGGCAACGAUGGGUAGCGGGUUUGAGAGGACGAUCCGCCACACUGGAACUGAGACACGGUCCAGACUCCUACGGGAGGCAGCAGUGGGGAAUAUUGCACAAUGGAGGAAACUCUGAUGCAGCAAUGUCGCGUGAGUGAAGAAGGCCCUUGGGUCGUAAAGCUCUUUUAUGGGGGAAGAUGAUGACGGUACCCCAAGAAUAAGCACCGGCUAACUAUGUGCCAGCAGCCGCGGUAAUACAUAGGGUGCGAGCGUUGUUCGGAAUUACUGGGCGUAAAGGGCGCGCAGGCGGAAUAGUAAGUCGGAGGUGAAAGCCCGGGGCUCAACCCCGGAGGGUCUUUCGAAACUACUAAUCUAGAGAGGGUCAGGGGCCGGCAGAAUUCCUGGUGUAGAGGUGAAAUUCGUAGAUAUCAGGAGGAAUACCGGUGGCGAAGGCGGCCGGCUGGGGCCACUCUGACGCUGAGGCGCGAAAGCGUGGGGAGCAAACAGGAUUAGAUACCCUGGUAGUCCACGCCGUAAACGAUGAGCACUGGACGUCCGGAGGGUUCGACCCUUCUGGGUGUCUCAGCUAACGCAUUAAGUGCUCCGCCUGGGGAGUACGGUCGCAAGACUAAAACUCAAAGGAAUUGACGGGGGCCCGCACAAGCGGUGGAACAUG